CUCUUUCCACCUCCCGUGCAUCUCAGUAUCUCACCCACUCUCACUAUCUCCCCAUCUCUCUUUCUGUUCACUAUCUAUUUCCCUUCUCUUCACCAUAAAUUACUUGUGGGUUUUUCUCAGGUAUCAUCAUUGACUAACCAUAAGACAAAAAAUCGCCGCUGCAAAUCUCCGCUCGUACACUUCCCGCCGCACCAAAUCCAUCACGACAGCCGCCUCUUCCCGCCGUUCCUCGACCAACUCCGACAGCCUACAGCAGCAGUGCACGCAUGGGUCUUCGCCGUCACAGUCGCUUGCCAUCGCCAUUUCUUUUGAGCUAAGAACUCAACUAUGUCAAAUUUCUCUGUUGGCUCCAACAAGUCUGCAAAUCUUUUAAUAAAGGACCAAACAGUUAGUGGGAUCUUGUGUACAAUAAGACUUACACAGGUAGAAGAAAGAGAGUGGACCAUAGAUUCGACCCAAGCAUCCACAUCAGGGAUGUCUUUCAGUGUGCAGUAUUCAAAGAAGACAUCCAGGGAAGGAUGAUUGAUAGACGGGAUAUAGAUGCUUCAUUUGAUAACUUUCCAUAUUACUUAAGGUGGCAAAGCUAUUGAUGAAAAAGGGCAUACCAAACACCACAUAGAAAGUAAUUUUUUUUUUUUUUGUAUGAAGUAGACUAGACAUUUUUGCUUUGGGGCUGCUUUUGUCUAAACUAAACAUGUUUAUCUGUACCAUCUCAUUUUUCAAAAUAGCCAAUAUAUACAUUACUAUGGCUAUUUGUUAUAAUUAGUUUCUUUACCUUUAAUCUUUACAAAGUUGUAUGAAACAUUUCAUUUUGGUAGUGAUGAUGAAGUCUUUUAAUAUAUUGAUUGAGUUUACUUU